rnacentral:rRNA from 1 species
UACGGGAGGCAGCAGUGGGGAAUAUUGGGCAAUGGGCGAAAGCCUGACCCAGCAACGCCGCGUGAAGGAAGAAGGUCUUCGGAUUGUAAACUUCUUUUAUGAGGGACGAAGGACGUGACGGUGGGCUCAUGAAUAAGCCACGGCUAACUACGUGCCAGCAGCCGCGGUAAU